AUGCCGAUGCGCCCCCGUGGCGAUGGCUCGGCUCUGAUUAUCGACAUGGAGGCCGCGCGGAAGGCUAUCGGUGGAUCACGGGUGGUAGGGCGGCUUCUUUCUCCCUUCCAAGUGAACCCGCAGGUCAUCGUCGAUGAGCUUCGGGCUUGUUCAGCAUGGAGGCUGCACGGGACGGUCACUGUUCAAGAUGUGGCCAGCGAGGACGAGAGGUUCGUCCUGAACUUUUCCGCUGAGGAGGACCGGCGAUUCAUUUUGAAGGCCCAGCCGUGGCACCAUAAGCAUGAUGGAGUCAUCUUCGCCGAGUUCGACGGCAAGGGAAACCCAGCAGAGGUUGACCUUGGCGUAAUGCCAGUAUGGGUGCAGGUUCGUGAUCUAGAUUUUGAACUCAAAACUGAGCGCAUGGGCUAG
rnacentral:rRNA from 1 species